AUUGAACGCUGGCGGCAGGCUUUACACAUGCAAGUCGAACGAGUGGCGGACGGGUGAGUAAUAUCUGGGAAAGUGCCUGGUGGCGGGGGAUAACUACUGGAAACAGUAGCUAAUACCGCAUACUAUUGGAGAUGCCGAUAUGGGAUUAGCUAGUUGGUGGGGUAAAGGCUCACCUAGGCGACGAUCCCUAGCUGGUCUGAGAGGAUGACCAGCCACACUGGGACUGAGACGCGGUCCAGACUCCUACGGGAGGCAGCAGUGGGGAAUAUUGCACAAUGGGCGCAAGCCUGAUGCAGCCAUGCCGCGUGUAUGAAGAAGGCCUUCGGGUUGUAAAGUACUUUCAGCGGAGAGGCGUUACCCGCAGAAGAAGCACCGGGUAACUCCGUGCCAGCCGCCGCGGUAAUAC
rnacentral:rRNA from 1 species